CAUGUCGAACCCAUCGUCUCCGUCUGAUCCCCACCAUCCUAAAGUCCCUUGAGCAGUCCCCUCUGCCCCUCCCCUGAUCCGUCUCCCCGGGCUAGUACCUCCAGACUACCAGCUCCCAACAGGUUGCUAAGUCCAACCGCUUCCCUGGGCCCUAUGCCUUCGAGACCUCCCUCCUUGUCCCCCAGCUGCCAUGUGGGAGGCCCACCUCUCCCGGUUCACUCCUCACCCCUCCGCCCCCCGCGGGGAGAUUGAUAGUUCACUGCCUCCCUGGGCAUGAGGGACACCUGGGCCGCGCUUCCCCCCCGUCUCCAUGCACCGGGGCCUUGUGGUACCCCUUGCCAUCUCGCCUCAGGGUCUCCCUCUACCCCGGAAGCCCCAUACUCUCUGUCCCCCAUAACUGGGGUGCCCCUCUUGUCCCUCCGCUCUGUGUACUCCGAGCGUCCUCAUCCCCUCAGUCCAGUGGAUUUGCACAGUCCAGGGUAGCGUUCCCUCCUCGGGGACUUAAAUCCCAGACCUCCCUUCCCAUCCCCCUUAGCCCUCCCCACCUAAUGCCUAAGCCCUCCAGCAGGUGCAUACCCUCCCCCUUAUAGGGUAACUCUCUCACCCACAGCCUCCUCCCACCUGUCCUAUGCCCGGUACCUGGCUUCAACAUAUCGCCCGGCAUGUCUACCGCAUGUGAGUGGUGGUCUCC